AAAACAUGGUCUUUUGUUUAUAUAAAAGAUCUGGCCUGCCCAAUGAUUUUUUUAAUGGCUGCAGUAUUUUGACUGUACAAAGGUAGCAUAAUCAUUUGUCUCUUAAUUGGAGUCUGGAAUGAAUGGUUGGAUGAAAGGUUUACUUUCUUUAUUUUAAAUAUAAAAUUUAAUUUUUGAAUCAGAAAGUUUAAAUAUUAAUAUAGGACGAGAAGACCCUAUAGAACUUUAUUUAUAAAAAAUAUUUAUUAAUUUGUAGAUUAUGAAUAUAUAUUUUUAUAUAAAUUUUAUUGGGGUGAUAAAAAAAAUUUUUUAACUUUUUUUAUUUUUAUCAUUUAUAUAUGUAUUUUUGAUCCUUUAAUAAGGAAUAAAAGAAUAAGUUACCUUAGGGAUAACAGCGUUAUUAUUUUAGAGAGUUCAUAUUGAUAAAAUAGUUUGCGACCUCGAUGUUGGAUUAAAAUUAGUCUCAGGAGUAGAAUAUUGAUGACUAAGUCUGUUCGACUUUUAAAUUUUUACAUGAUCU
rnacentral:rRNA from 1 species